CCCGUAUUCUUAAACGCGCCUUCACUCAGCGCUUCUCCUCGACUCAGCCAAGUCGAGGCGACGAGCGUUCCUUCACUCAAGGCGCCAUUGCGUUUCAUGAACACUACUUCACUUUUCCUCCGCCAAGGAACGCCUUGAAAAUGCGCCCUUCACUCGAGUGAAGUGCACCGACCGAGAAAAGCGUCUGAUAUCGAGGCUAUUCUUAAAUGCGCUUAGCAAAAGCCCAAUUAUUUAAUACAGAUAUGUGUUUCCGUUAAUUUGGCUUCGUUAUAAAAUGACAACACGGCGCAAUGCACAAAUUUAGCUCGGCAGCGCUGCCACUGUUAGCGUUAGACUGAUAGAUCAAGCGGGAGCUGUGUUUGAGGUCUGGCAACGAUCGCUCCCCAGCAGCUGAGCACAGCGCAUGGCUGAGAAACAAGAAAAUUUGCGCCCGCAUUUGUCUGCCGCUCAUUCUUUCCUUGUGCUUAAUUUGUGGUUCACGUUGCAGUUGUUAAUCGUAGUUAUCAUGGAUGAUAUUGUCCGUGUGUGUACUGUGACCGAGCCGGAUUGACUUCGAAGGAGGCAACGCAUGGAACGGCCGAUGGGCAGCUUUGUUUACCUUCAAGACCAAGUGCUGCUGAAAGCUUUCUGAAAGCAUCAACAGGACAAAAAGUAAGGGAUGUGGGCCUUGGAAGGACCAGCUGAUGGAAAAAAAUCAACGUCCGUGUUGCACGCAACGCCAUUGUGACUGUCUGCAUCUCCAUUUGGCCUGUUGUGGGAUCCCACAAGACACGCUUUGUUCCUGGGUCAAUUACUGAACUUCUGCAAGCCCCAUGGAAGCCAACUGUCAUCCGCAUCGAAUGGAACAAAUUCAUGGUUCCGGCCUUCAUAAUUCAUCUUGAGCUGAAGUUAGAACUGGAGCUCAAACAGCGUAAAUUCUGUAAGGAUUUACCACUGCAUACCGUCCGGUGGCCACACACGACGGUAUGCUACUGUCUAGAACACUGCUAGUCUACUGUCCAGAACACGGAUGGUGUUUUAUUCUAGAAUAGCUUUGUCAGUAGUACUACUGAUUGUGUUUGUAGGAUCACAGUCCACGCUCUUUUUGCAAUCCUAUCAGAACACAAAAAGACGAGGAUAAUUUUAAUUUAUUGUUUCAGAGAUUGACACUUCGAUUGACCAGAAAUAAUUCAGUGAUACAGACGGCUUUAUUAAAUAUGGGUUAAGAAAAGAAACCUGGAUGAAAAAUACAGACUUAAGCAGCAAGGUGCCUAUGAAGGCAGAUGUAUACAAAAUGCCUUUAGUAGUGAUGUUUGAGCUGUUAGGAUGUCAGAAAAGACAUUGAGGUUUUAGCCAAAA